rnacentral:rRNA from 1 species
CUACGGGGGGCAGCAGUGGGGAAUAUUGGACAAUGGGCGAAAGCCUGAUCCAGCCAUGCCGCGUGUGUGAAGAAGGCCUUCGGGUUGUAAAGCACUUUCAGUGGGGAAGAAAGCCUUGGGGCUAAUACCCUCGAGGAAGGACAUCACCCACAGAAGAAGCACCGGCUAACUCCGUGCCAGCAGCCGCGGUAAUACGGAGGGUGCGAGCGUUAAUCGGAAUUACUGGGCGUAAAGCGCGCGUAGGCGGUCUGAUAAGCCGGUUGUGAAAGCCCCGGGCUCAACCUGGGAACGGCAUCCGGAACUGUCAGGCUAGAGUGCAGGAGAGGAAGGUAGAAUUCCCGGUGUAGAGGGGAAAUGCGUAGAGAUCGGGAGGAAUACCAGUGGCGAAGGCGGCCUUCUGGACUGACACUGACGCUGAGGUGCGAAAGCGUGGGUAGCAAACAGGAUUAGAUACCCCUGUAGUC